rnacentral:rRNA from 1 species
AUUGAACGCUGGCGGCAGGCCUAACACAUGCAAGUCGAACGAGUGGCGGACGGGUGAGUAAUGUCUGGGAAACUGCCCGAUGGAGGGGGAUAACUACUGGAAACGGUAGCUAAUACCGCAUACCAUCGGAUGUUCCUGGAUGGGAUUAGCUUGUUGGUGGGGUAACGGCUAAGCUAGGCGACGAUCCCUAGCGGGUCUGAGGGGCUGACCAGCCCCACUGGAACGGAGACACGGCCCGUACUCCUCCGGGAGGCAGCGUUGGUGAAUAUUGCACAAGGGGGGCAAGCCUGAUGCAGACAUGCCGCGUGUAUGAAGAAGACUUUCGGGUUGUAAAGUACUUUCAGCGAGGAGGCGUUACUCGCAGAAGAAGCACCGGCUAACUCCGUGCCAGCAGCCGCGGUAAUUC